rnacentral:rRNA from 1 species
GAUGAACGCUAGCGGCAGGCCUAACACAUGCAAGUCGAGGGGUAGAAGGCUUCGGCCUUUGAGACCGGCGCACGGGUGCGUAACGCGUAUGCAAUCUGCCUUACACUGGGGGAUAGCCCAGAGAAAUUUGGAUUAAUACCCCAUAGUAUUUUUGCCUGGCAUCAGGUGAUUAUUAAAGUUUUUUGGUGUAAGAUGAGCAUGCGUCCCAUUAGCUAGUUGGUAUGGUAACGGCAUACCAAGGCAAUGAUGGGUAGGGGUCCUGAGAGGGAGAUCCCCCACACUGGUACUGAGACACGGACCAGACUCCUACGGGAGGCAGCAGUGAGGAAUAUUGGUCAAUGGGCGAGAGCCUGAACCAGCCAUGCCGCGUGCAGGAUGAAGCAUCUAUGGUGUGUAAACUGCUUUUGUACGGGAAGAAACACCUCUACGUGUAGAGGCUUGACGGUACCGUAAGAAUAAGGAUCGGCUAACUCCGUGCCAGCAGCCGCGGUAA